rnacentral:rRNA from 1 species
UACAGAGGUCCCGAGCGUUGUUCGGAUUCACUGGGCGUAAAGGGUGCGUAGGUGGUGAGGUAAGUCGGAUGUGAAAUCUCCGAGCUCAACUCGGAAAUGGCAUUGGAAACUACCUUGCUUGAGGGUUGGAGGGGGGACUGGAAUACUUGGUGUAGCAGUGAAAUGCGUAGAUAUCAAGUGGAACACCAGUGGCGAAGGCGAGUCCCUGGACAACACCUGACACUGAGGCACGAAAGCUAGGGGAGCAAACAGG